UACGGAGGGGGCUAGCGUUGUUCGGAAUCACUGGGCGUAAAGCGUGCGUAGGCGGCUAUUCAAGUCAGAGGUGAAAGCCUGGGGCUCAACCCCAGAACUGCCUUUGAAACUAGGUAGCUCGAACACGGGAGAGGUGAGUGGAAUUCCGAGUGUAGAGGUGAAAUUCGUAGAUAUUCGGAAGAACACCAGUGGCGAAGGCGGCUCACUGGACCGUUGUUGACGCUGAGGCACGAAAGCGUGGGGAGCAAACAGGAUUAGAUACCCUGGUAGUCCACGCCGUAAACGAUGAUAACUAGCUGUCGGGGCUCUUUGAGCUCCGGUGGCGCAGCUAACGCAUUAAGUUAUCCGCCUGGGGAGUACGGCCGCAAGGUUAAA
rnacentral:rRNA from 1 species